rnacentral:lncRNA from 1 species
GGGAAGCCGAGCAGACGGCCCCAGAACAAGCGGUCAUGUGACUGGGAAGAUGGCCGUCUUUCCUUGGCACUCCAGGAAUAGGAACUACAAAGCUGAAUUUGCAUCAUGCCGACUGGAGGCUGUACCAUUGGAGUUUGGGGACUAUCACCCUCUGAAACCCAUAACUUUGUGAUCCUGAGUCAUGUCCAUUUGUCACAAAAACUAAGCAUCCCCUGCAGAUGGAUAAGUCUCUGCUGCAAAUGAACCAUCCAUUCAACUACCAGAAUGGGAGGAAAGUACCCACUGGAGUGUUUCACUGGGG